rnacentral:rRNA from 1 species
UACGUAGGGUGCGAGCGUUAAUCGGAAUUACUGGGCGUAAAGCGUGCGCAGGCGGCUUUGCAAGUCAGAUGUGAAAUCCCCGGGCUCAACCUGGGAAUUGCGAUGGAGACUGCAAGGCUAGAAUCUGGCAGAGGGGGGUAGAAUUCCACGUGUAGCAGUGAAAUGCGUAGAGAUGUGGAGGAACACCGAUGGCGAAGGCAGCCCCCUGGGUCAAGAUUGACGCUCAUGCACGAAAGCGUGGGGAGCAAACAGG